rnacentral:lncRNA from 1 species
GGAGUAGAACAAAUGAGAAAAAUGCUGAUUUUGCCUUGGGCACUGUAAGGAAAGGAGCCAACAAUCCAGGCCUUGGAGAAGCAAUCAGUAUUUAGAACUCACUUUGCAUCACUGAGUUAGAAAAACAAGAAGAGGCAUGAUGACCACUUACAUCAUUAUCCUGCUGAUGUGAAGACACUGUAGAAUAUGAACCAGUAAGACUCACCAGCAUGCAAGUUACAGUAGAAGUAUUCCUUACUUGUGUAAACUCUUGUAUGCACAAACAAGAGGGGGAGAAUAUCUGGGAGAGAAGGAGGAGAGAGGAGACUUGAGCACAGGAGGAGAACACCUGGAAGAGUCUGGCAUGAGGUGAGGCUCAAGUAGUUUGGGCUUUGUCAGUGGUGUGGGGUGUUUCUGUGACCACUUCAGCAAGAGCAGUUUGCCUUACAC